rnacentral:rRNA from 1 species
AGCAGCCGCGGUAAUUCCAGCUCCAAUAGCGUAUAUUAAAGUUGUUGCAGUUAAAAAGCUCGUAGUUGAAUUUCGGGGUUAGUAGGUUGGUCGUGCCUCAGGUAUGUACUGAUCUCACUGAUUCCUCCUUCCUGAUGAACCGUAAUGCCAUUAAUUUGGUGUUGCGGGGAAACUGGACUGUUACUUUGAAAAAUUAGAGUGUUUAAAGCAGGCUAACGCUUGAAUACAUUAGCAUGGAAUAAUGAAAUAGGACGUUCGAUCCUAUUUUGUUGGUUUCUAGGAUUGACGUAAUGAUUAAUAGGGAUAGUUGGGGGCAUUAGUAUUCAAUUGUCAGAGGUGAAAUUCUUGGAUUUAUUGAAGACUAACUACUGCGAAAGCAUUUGCCAAGGAUGUUUUCAUUAAUCAAGAACGAAAGUUAGGGGAUCGAAGACGAUCAGAUACCGUCGUAGU